ensembl:lncRNA
AGUGAUUUGAAAGAAUCUGUGAAUUCAUGAGGACAAAGAAAACCAAAAAACAAAAAACCUAAAGAUGUUGGAAAAUGUAUUUAUAAUUAAUAAUUCAGAUUUUUUUUUUCAUUCAGGAAGUCUAUUCACAUUCAUUGUAGUAUUUAUAUUUUAGACUCAGAUGUCUAUCCUCCACAUCUGCCCUACUGUACAUCUCUGUGCAAGAAAGACUAUGAGGUCCAGGACAUAGACCUGAACAUCCAAUUAUGGUCAUCUCUAAUCCUGGGAAUUUCAGUCCCAGGAAGCCUUUGGCCUUGCCUAGUUAGCAGCCUUCCAGAAGUCUGUAGGUAUUAUUCAGAAGGAGUCUGUUCCAUGGACUAUUCCCCAUGGGACAUUUAGAUUCAGCAACUCUAUUUCUGGAGAAUUGGUUGAGACGCCCCGUGAUGGCUGGAUUUGCAGGUUCUGAGGUGUG